rnacentral:misc_RNA from 1 species
GAUGAAGAACGUAGCGAAAUGCGAUAAGUAAUGUGAAUUGCAGAAUUCAGUGAAUCAUCGAAUCUUUGAACGCACCUUGCGCUCUUUGGUAUUCCGAAGAGCAUUCCUGUUUGAGUGUCAUGAAAAUAUCAACCUUGACUUGGGUUUUGUGCUCUAGUCUCGGCUUGGAAUUGGGUGCUUGCCGCUUUUACGAGCGGCUCACCUUAAAUGUAUUAGCUGGAUCUGUCUUUGAGACUUGGUUUGACUUGGCGUAAUAAGUAUUUCGCUAAGGACAUUCUUCGGAGUGGCCUCGUUUCUAGGACGCUUGUCCGCUUUCCAAUACAAGUUCCACCUCGUGGACAUGACUUUUUAUUAUCUGGCCUCAAAUCAGGUAGGACUACCCGCUGAACUUAAGCAUAUCAAUAAGCGGAGGA